CAGAAGAAUCCAGAGAUGGAUUUGUGCCUUCGGGAACUGUGAGACAGGUGCUGCAUGGCUGUCGUCAGCUCGUGUUGUGAAAUGUUGGGUUAAGUCCCGCAACGAGCGCAACCCUUAUCCUUUGUUGCCAGCGGUUAGGCCGGGAACUCAAAGGAGACUGCCAGUGAUAAACUGGAGGAAGGUGGGGAUGACGUCAAGUCAUCAUGGCCCUUACGACCAGGGCUACACACGUGCUACAAUGGCGCAUACAAAGAGAAGCGACCUCGCGAGAGCAAGCGGACCUCAUAAAGUGCGUCGUAGUCCGGAUUGGAGUCUGCAACUCGACUCCAUGAAGUCGGAAUCGCUAGUAAUCGUGGAUCAGAAUGCCACGGUGAAUACGUUCCCGGGCCUUGUACACACCGCCCGUCACACCAUGGGAGUGGGUUGCAAAAGAAGUAGGUAGCUUAACCUUCGGGAGGGCGCUUACCACUUUGUGAUUCAUGACUGGGGUGAAGUCGUAACAAGGUAACCGUAGGGGAACCUGCGGUUGGA
rnacentral:rRNA from 1 species